rnacentral:pre_miRNA from 1 species
UUUUUUUUUUGAGAAUUCACUAUCGCGGGACUGACUUUACUGUAGACCAGUGGUUCCCAAACUUUUUUGUUUCGUAGAAAAGUCAGUCCCGCGAUAGUGAAUUCUCAAAAAAAAAAA